UACGUAGGGUGCAAGCGUUAAUCGGAAUUACUGGGCGUAAAGCGUGCGCAGGCGGUUUUGUAAGUCUGUCGUGAAAUCCUCGGGCUCAACCUGAGAAUUGCGAUGGAGACUGCAAGGCUAGAAUCUGGCAGAGGGGGGUAGAAUUCCACGUGUAGCAGUGAAAUGCGUAGAGAUGUGGAGGAACACCGAUGGCGAAGGCAGCCCCCUGGGUCAAGAUUGACGCUCAUGCACGAAAGCGUGGGGAGCAAACAGG
rnacentral:rRNA from 2 species